GACGUAGGGCGCGAGCGUUGUCCGGAUUUAUUGGGCGUAAAGAGCUCGUAGGCGGUUGAGUAAGUCGGGUGUGAAAACUCUGGGCUUAACCCAGAGCCGCCACCCGAUACUGCUCUGACUUGAGUUCGGUAGGGGAGCAGGGAAUUCCUAGUGUAGCGGUGAAAUGCGCAGAUAUUAGGAGGAAUACCGGUGGCGAAAGCGACUCUCUGGACGGCAACUGACGCUGAGGCACGAAAGCGUGGGGAGCAAACAGG
rnacentral:rRNA from 1 species